CGUGGCAUUCAUUUCCUCUAAAACAAACACACACCCAGCACUUUGCAUCCGUGUUCAGUAGCAGUGGGUUGAUUUGCGUGAGAGAUGUUGGAUCAAGAGUGAUGUUGGGUCAUCACUGGCACAGAGCCAGGGCCGUCGGUCAGGAAGGGGCAUUCGGACGGCUGCAAUAUAGGCUUGGGCGUGGACUUACUAACCCCGCACUCCCCUUGCCUCCCGACAGUGACCGAGAGCCGGGGCAUCCUUGAGAGCAUCCAGAGGUUCUCCCUGCUGCCCACCUACCUGCCGGUCACCUACCACAUCAACAACGCCGACGUGUCCUUCUUCCUGAAGGAGGCCAACCAGGACAUCAUGCGCAACUCCAGCCUGCAGUCCAGGGUCGAGUCCUUCCUCAUCUACAAAUCCAAGCAGCUGCCGGCGCUCAACGCCAGCUAUGGGCCCUUCUCCAUCGAGCAAGUGGUGCCCCAGGACCUGCUGCUGCCCGCCAACCCCUUCGGCUUCACCAACACGUUUUCCCUGAACUGGAAGCUGAAGGCCUCCAUCCUGCGGGAGAAGAUCUACCCCAGCCGUCCCAAGGUGCAGGUCCUCUUCCACCUGGUAGGCCGGGACUGGGACGACGCGCGGCCUGCGGAGAGGCUGCCCUGCCUGCGCGUCUUCGCCUUCCGGGAGACCCGGGAGGUGCGGGGCAGCUGCCGGCUCGCCGGGGACCUGGGCCUGUGCGUGGCGGAGCUGGAGGUCCCGGCCGCGUGGUUCAGUGCCCCGACGGUGGUUGCCGGGAGGAGGAAGGCCGCGGAGCAGCCCGAGGGCAGCCCGGUGGAGCUGUACUACUCCAUGCAGCCGGGGGACGCGCGUUGGGACUGCGCCCAGGAGGACCGGUGGAGGACCGACGGCAUUCGGACAGGUCACAAUGACAUCGAUGAGUCUGGGCCGCCCUUGCACAGAAUCGGGAGUGUCUUCCUCUACCAGACCCACGGCAGCCCCACCCUGAAGGAGCUGCGACUGGACAGCAAUGUCGCCGUGCACUACGUCCCCAAGACGGCUCGACAGGGCGACGUGCUCACCUUCCCCAUCUUGGUCUCGAGAAACUGUACAGAGGACCGUUUUACGCUGAGGGCCAAGGUGAAGAAAGGCGUGAGCAUUGCCGGGGUGAGGGCCAGCAGCCCCUCCAUCUGGGACGUCAAGGAGAGCUCGGAGUCCGCCGGGAAGUACGCACCCGCUGUCAUAGUGUGUCACAAGAAAUCUGCUGCCUCGGCAAACGGUGCAGACAGCAGCUCCGAGGAAGUCAUGCAGGUCGAUGUGGAGGUCGAAGAUCCCAGCGACCCUCCAGCCACACAGCUCGUCACGUGGCAGGUGGAGUAUCCCGGAGACAUCACCUCUGACCUGGGCGUGUCCGAGAUCUACGUCCGUCAGAAGGACUUGGUUGGAGUGAUCCCACUGGCCAUGGUAAGGUGGGUGGGGAGGAGAGGCUCCGGCUCCAGCUGGCCCAGACUGGGGAAGGGUCAGACUGCAAGCCAGGGAGCCCAGGAGGGAGGUUUCCCACCAAUAGGGAUUCUGGGAUUCUGGCAUCUCUCCUAAACUAUCAUGUGAAAAUGCUCGAGCUGGCCAGAAGUGGCAGCUCAAUCCCAGCAAUGGGAAGGCUGAGGCGGGAGGAUUGUUGUGAGACCAGCCUGGGCUACAAAGUGAGCUCAAGGCCAGCCUAAACUGCAUAGGGAGACCCUGUGUCAAAGAGACAAAAAAAGAAAAUGGUCAAGCUGCAGGUGUUAGACGGGGCCUGGCCUGUGUGGAACUCGCGGUUCUGUGGUGCAUGUGACAGGUCCUGUGGACGCCAAGGACUCCAGCCGGGAGGGAGCUGGGAAAGCUGCUCCUUGGCACAACUCAUGGCUCGGCGCCUCCCCGAGGGGAAAAGCAGGCAGCGGGGAGGCAAAAGCCGAGCAAGGGUGCGACCGGACUCCUCCCCCCAUGCCCGGCCCCAGGCUCAAGCGCCGGGCCCCAGGCUGCAUGUCUGCCACUCUGCACCUCCUCACGGCCAGGAGCAGCCAAAGCGGGGCCUCUGCUGGUGGGCCACGCACCUGCACCUCGUGUGUGCCUCAGUUUCUUGAUCUGCAGAGGCUGGGAAGAAAGCGUAGGAACGCAUGAGGUCACUUUCAGGAUAAAACAUAACCGAGGUGUCCUAGCCGGUGUCGCUUGGAGCACACACACAGCAGGAGUCAGCUGGGAACAGGCUCAUGUGCCUGAGUGCCGCACCCCCAAACACGAGUGAACCGGACCCCAACACUUGCACUCUGAGGAGUUCCCAUCUGCCCCCUCGCAGCAGCUGCUCCCAAGGGUGAAGUCAGAGCCCCGACACCCAUCUGUAUCCAGGGUGUUCCAGGCCCUCUCUCUUUGGUUAAGGAAAGAACUUGCUGCUGGGGGUCGUGUGGCCAUGGUCAGUAAAUUAUUAGGCUUUUGGCAAUUUUACGUGCAUGGAGAGGCGUUUGUUAGAGAAACAGGAGCCGCGGGGUGUGUGUGGGGGGCUGGUUCGGGGCGGGGGGGUUGGGGCUGCCAAAUACCAGGUUUUAGAGAAUUGCCCUGGCUCCAAGCAGAGAGUGAGAUUAGAGCCUCCGAAGGGCGACGGAGGACCUGGGCCCUCGCGGGCACGUGUCACUUGCGCAGGCGCUCCAAUGGCCCCAGAGCUGGGGAUGCAGCCUCCUGCAGCCAAGUGACACCACGGUGCCGUCUUCAUCUGCACAAACCCAAAUAACAGCAAUUGCGCCUGUGUCGCAGCAGCGGGAAGAGGCAAAGGGCUGAAGGGCGGAUGCAGUCUUGGCGCAGAAUUCUCCGUCAGCUCCCAUCCCUCACAGAGGAGCAUGGCCACGGGGCCCCAUCGAGCUGCAAGGGAGGCUGGGAAAGACGAGGCCAGCGUGGGCAGGACACACAUGAGGGAGGGCGAGGUCACAGGGGUUGCAGACCAGGGCAGGGAGCCAUUGGGAGAGACGCUGGUUCCUCCCCGGGCACUGGGGGAGGGCGGGAAGGAAAGACCGGAACAGACGCUGUGUCCUAGCUGUGGGUCCAACCCUGAAUUCCCCCACACAGCUCUGCAACACCACGCACAGCCUCAGCAUUUAGGAGAUUUGUUUCUAUUACAAAAGAUAUUAGUGUUUCAUUUUCUUGUACAGCUAUCUUUGCAUACAUCCCUGAUGGAUUCCUGGAGUUGAUCACUGAGAAAUAAAUUUGAGCCCAAGGACUCAAACCCAAGGAUGUGCAAUAUUGUAAUACCUUUUCAUAAUGGUGGCCCAAUUGCCUUCUAGAAGGUUGAACUAAUUUACAAUUCCACCUGCUGUGUGUAAUGAUACUCCAUCCCCUGCGCCUCUACUAAUGCAGAAUAUUAAGAUUUUUAAAAAAUAGAUGAUUGAUUAAGUAAAAAUUAUAUCUCAUUGUUGCCCUAAUUUGUCAUUCAUAGCAUACAUUUUCAUUUAUUUCCUCA
ensembl:lincRNA